AACUCGAAGAUCGUCUCAAGAGCAGCUACGACUACGUUCAAGCUCCAGAUUUUGAGGAUGAAGAGGAUGAGAAAGAAGAAGAAGGAGAGAUUUUAGCUCCUGUGCCGGAUUCUAGCUUCAACGAAGAUGAUUUGUAUCCUUCUCCAAUUUUUGGCUGCUGAACAAUUUUUAACAUAGAACUGAAAAAAAUGAAAAUAAAAAA